CAGUGAGAGUUAAGCAGCACCGUCUCUUUCUGUUUUCUCCUUAAUCAAAGUAACGUGGCACAGGCUUCAGUGAGGCUGCUACUUCGGUGAGGACUGCAGGACUUGGCCCAACAGUGCCAUCUUGGAGUGGGAUUUAUUUAGCAAAAAUGUAUUUCAUCCGAAGAGGUGUCUGCUGAGUAACUGGUCAAGAGAAUUGCUUCCACUAAAUGUAGGCUGCAGGGAGCCAUAGAAGAGGUUCAGUAGGUGGUGCUGUUCCCUUGAAGCCAGUUCUGAUGCUGUGCCCGGCAGAAUGUAUAAGGGGUACGUACUCCAAAGAUCCAGCCUUCAGGUAGAACCUGAAAAGCUAGCAAUUUGUUGCCAUAAAAAUCUUGUUUAUGCUUUUUGUUAGCUAUAGUGGUGUUGGGGGCGUAUUUAAACUUCUUGGAGCUUGGGGGUGGGAAAUACAGUACAGGAUAAAAUCAGUGCUGUCUUAUAUAUACUUGAACCUGAAGCUUGAAGAAAAUUUCAAGAUCCAUGAGUUGUAGGAGUCGUAAAUGGAAGAGGAGGGGAAAAAGCAAAGGAAAAUAAAAAGAAGAAAGAAAGAUUGAGUGUAACAAACCAGUAACUAUGAACUGAGAGAUUUUUCAUAGCUGUGUGGAAAGCAUUCUUUCAGGUUGCACCCAUUUUGGCCAAGAACAAGACAGAGUUGAAUCUAGAAGUAGACCCAGUGAGAAAUGCAAACAUUCCAGAGCUAGGAGUUGUUUGACUGUGAGCUCUCAGCGAUGGCUUUUCACUGAGCUAUGUGCCAGUGGAAUAAAUAACAACGAAAGCGGUGCAUUUUUCAGAAGAUAUGACCAGUAUAUUUCCAAGCUGUCUCCAGAUAUCAGAAUUCUUUCUCUCAGAAAUGUUCAGUCGUUGAAACUGGUUGCACAGUACUGGAUGUAUGUGUAUCUUCUGUGAGAGGACCCUUUGUUAAGGUUGCUCAGAAAGAACAUUCUAAUUAGUUUUGGAGGUAACAUAAAAUAUAACACCAGAAACUUCCUUUCAGAUGGUUUGAGGUCAGAAAGGACCACUGGAUCAUCUGUUUUGACAUUUUCUGUGUCACAUGCUGUUAUUUUUGCCCAGUCAUCCCUAUUUUGAACAUAGUUACGUAGAGACAGCAUCCCUCCAUCUUGAAGCUAUCAAGAGGUUAAAGCUCCUCCCUUCCAUUGGUAGUUUUGUUCCAGUGGCUAAUUCUCUUGCUGUUUAAAAAUGUG
ensembl:lncRNA